UACAGAGACUGCAAGCGUUAUUCGGAUUCACUGGGCGUAAAGGGUGCGCAGGCGGCCAAGUGUGUGAGGCGUGAAAGCCUGUGGCUCAACCACAGAAUUGCCUUUGAUACUGUUCGGCUCGAGACCGGAAGAGGUUGGUGGAACUGCGAGUGUAGAGGUGAAAUUCGUAGAUAUUCGCAAGAACACCAGUGGCGAAGGCGGCCAACUGGUCCGGUUCUGACGCUGAGGCGCGAAAGCGUGGGGAGCAAACAGG
rnacentral:rRNA from 1 species